ACUUUCUUUUGCUUCCGGGUUCUUGCCAAUGACGUCAUUGUUUAUAGUGCCGCUUAUCGUCAAGGUGGCUGUCUUGCAUAAUUGGUUGCUAACGCUGCAUCGAUCGAAACUUCUACACAAGAUUCCAUGACCGCACUUGCACGUAACAUCCACUCAACGGUCCGAUUUUUGGCCCACUGAACCUCUGACAUUCCACACCAGAAGACAACAUACAUGAUGGCAAGUCAAGCAUUAACUGAUGCAGAUGUGGAGGACAGUUCACCGGAGCAGGCAGCCUGAAACCGUCCUCAAUGGCCUUGAUCACCUACGACAUUGGACGAUGAGAAAAGCCAUUAGUUUAGCCCUCAUUUCACCUCUUUAAACACAAGAGCGGGACCUCAUCCCUCCAGACGUCUUCAAUGGUCCUUUGCUCCUCCAUCGAGCUAACACCGUUCCCAUUCAAGAACCAUUCAGCCUAACACCUCACCGGGGAUUUAAUCUCAUCCAUCCUGCUCCUG